AGGUCAUUUCAAAGAGGGCUUGUGGAGCUGUGAAACCAAGAGCUCUCAAUGCUGUGACUAAAGACUGAUGUUCUCCAUGGGAUGUUGUAGUCACUCAAUAGUGCUGUGUUUUCCUGUGGAGGUAUAAGA
ensembl:snoRNA SNORA25B small nucleolar RNA, H/ACA box 25B